CACUGAGGAGACAUGACCGAGCAGCCACAUGUUUAGGAUGUGCCAACGUCACCCUCACCCUCACACGCAGGUGCGUUCCGACACCCAUCCAUCUGUAGUGCACCGGGUCCCCAGAUGGUAGACGGGGGCCAGACCUGGCUCUUCCCAUACCUUCUUGUCUCGGAGUGUAGAUCUGCGCGAGAAGGGGAAAAUCAAACAAGAGAAGCGGAGAGAUGUUAAUUGCAACAGCGGCAGGAGCCUGCCAGGUUCCUGGUUCGCUCUGCUCGAGCGGCACAUGCGAAGGGACAUACUGCGAAGGUCGGCUUGCUCGCUGGGAGUCUAAUAUUAGAGCGGCACAUUUCCCAUGCUGAAACUCUAGUGCCGGUCUCAAGUUGCCCAGAGCCCGGCAACAGGGCCAUAUGCUUAAACCAUCACAGGUCCCUGACGCGAUCGCCACACUGGGCAUCACGGGGCAAGGGACUGGGAGAACUCAAGCGUGUCUGCAUGUAGGUCUGUCCCGGCCAAGUGGCAGGGAUGCGUAACUAAGGGGCCGCCCUCAAAAAGCAGAUCCGCCUCAGCAUCUCCAUGUGGGCCGCCUCCAGCCCAGCACCCAGCGUCCCCGUGGAGCUAGUCCCGGCUGGGCUGCCUCCCUUCUGGCGAGACUCUGAAACUCACAGGUGGUGAAGUGUAACAUGACUCAACAGGUCUUUGAUCAGGGCCAAAUCUCCUGACGACCCCGAACAUGACACUCGCCACAGCAGAGUGUGACAGGGAAACGUGAUCAGUGGCAGAUCCAUGCGGGGACAGCAUACAGAGGCGGCUUAAGUGCAUGACUGGAUGCAGGAUGGUAACCAGAGCAGAACAAACACCAGCCUCAUCUAUCCCCAGAAGCUGCAGUUGCUUCACAACCUGAACACACCUGGAGAACAAAGAGACCAGAUCCCUUGUGCAAUCACAUCUACCUAGACAACCUAAAAGUCCAACGAGCAACGUCAGUUGCCAUACCAACUUGCAACAUGUUGGCAAAUACUCAUGUCAAGCUCUUUGAGACGAUCCCUGACGGGAAGGUCAGACACGCAUACAGGGAGUUUUUUUCGGCACCGAGCAGCCCGAUAACAGCAUCAUACAGCCUAAUAAGCAGUCCAUGGAACUUCAGAGAUGCCCAGGUCAUUGAAGAGCUUGUCAGAGUACAUUGACGGAGGCUUCAUGGUGCCAUGUCCGAGGGGGUCCAGCUUGAAGAAGUCACAGUGCACCACCUCCAGCUGCCCAUCUAGACUAUUCUCCAAAGCCUUAGACACAAAGAGCAUACCUCCGUGUUAAAGAGCAUGACAUGGGCGAAACCUCACCACGCUUAUAGACCAGUGGAUUAUGCAAUAAAACAUCAGGUGGCAGACAUGCUCACCUGCAGAUCUUUAA